rnacentral:rRNA from 1 species
AGUGAACGCUGGCGGUAGGCCUAACACAUGCAAGUCGAACGGCAGCACAGUAAGAGCUUGCUCUUACGGGUGACGAGUGGCGGACGGGUGAGGAAUACAUCGGAAUCUACUUUUUCGUGGGGGAUAACGUAGGGAAACUUACGCUAAUACCGCAUACGACCUACGGGUGAAAGCAGGGGAUCUUCGGACCUUGCGCGAUUGAAUGAGCCGAUGUCGGAUUAGCUAGUUGGCGGGGUAAAGGCCCACCAAGGCGACGAUCCGUAGCUGGUCUGAGAGGAUGAUCAGCCACACUGGAACUGAGACACGGUCCAGACUCCUAAGGGAGGCAGCAGUGGGGAAUAUUGGACAAUGGGCGCAAGCCUGAUCCAGCCAUACCGCGUGGGUGAAGAAGGCCUUCGGGUUGUAAAGCCCUUUUGUUGGGAAAGAAAAGCAGCAGGUUAAUACCCCGCUGUUCUGACGGUACACAAAGAAUAAGCACCGGCUAACUUCGUG